rnacentral:rRNA from 1 species
UGACGUUCAAGCGAACAGGAUUAGGAGCAAACAUAGUUAGAUACCCUGGUAGUCCACGCCCUAAACGAUGUCAAUUAGUGUCGUGGGUUCAUUUCCUUAGUAAUUAAGCUAACGCGUGAAGGAGUCCGCCUGGGGAGUUCGGUCGCAAGAUUAAAACUCAAAGGAAUUGACGGGGACCCGCCCAAGCGGUGGAUGAUGUGGAUUAAUUAGAACCAACGCGAAAAACCUUACCUACCCUUGACAUCUUGGAAUGCCGCCGAGAGGUGGGAGUGGUACAAAGAGAACCGGCGCACAGGUGCUGCAUGGCGGUCGUCAGCUCGUAUCUUGAGAUGUUGGGUUAAGUCCCGCAACGAGCGCACCCCUUGUCCUUAGGGGUUAUGCAAGAUCACUGUAAGGAGCCGGCGGGUGACAAACCGGAGGAAGGGGGGGAGGACGUCAAGUCUUCAUGGCCCUUAUGGGUAGGGCUUCACACUUCAUACAAUGGUAGGAACAGAGGGUUGCCAACGCGGGAGGGGGAGUUAAUCCCAGAAAGUCUAUGGUAGUCCGGAUUUCAGUAUGUAACUCGCAUGCAGUAAGAGGGAAUCGUUAGUAAUCGUGGAUCAGCAUGCCGCGAAGAAUACGUUCCCCGGUGUUGUCCACACCGCCCGUCACACCAAGGGAGGGGGUUCCCCAGAAGGUCUAGCCUCACCGCAAGGAGACGUCA